UAGGGGUUUAGGAUAACACUAGACCAAGGGCCUUCAAAGCCCUAAGUGAGAGUGAAAAUCUCUCAGCCCCUG
rnacentral:tRNA from 1 species